GGGCCUGUAGCUCAGCAAGGUAGAGCAUCGGCCUUUUAAGACCUUCAGGGUCGAGGAGAGCCGUUGGUCAGGGGUUCGAAUCCCCUCAGGCCCG
rnacentral:tRNA from 1 species